GAUGAACGCUGGCGGCGUGCCUAACACAUGUAAGUCGAGCGAUUCACUUCGGUGAAGAGCGGCGGACGGGUGAGUAACGCGUGAGUAACCUGCCUCAUACACAUGGAUAACAUACCGCAAGGUAUGCUAAUACAAGAUGAUAUAAGAGAUUCGCAUGGAUUUCUUAUCAAAGCUCCGGCGGUAUGAGAUGGACCCGCGUCUGAUUAGCUAGUUGGUAAGGUAACGGCUUACCAAGGCGACGAUCAGUAGCCGACCUGAGAGGGUGAUCGGCCACAUUGGAACUGAGACACGGUCCAAACUCCUACGGGAGGCAGCAGUGGGGAAUAUUGCACAAUGGGCGAAAGCCUGAUGCAGCAACGCCGCGUGAGCGAUGAAGGCCUUCGGGUCGUAAAGCUCUGUCCUCAAGGAAGAUAAUGACGGUACUUGAGGAGGAAGCCCCGGCUAACUACGUGCCAGCAGCCGCCGCGGUAA
rnacentral:rRNA from 1 species